rnacentral:rRNA from 1 species
UACGUAGGGGGCUAGCGUUGCUCGGAAUCACUGGGCGUAAAGCGCACGUAGGCGGACUCUUAAGUCAGGGGUGAAAUCCUGGAGCUCAACUCCAGAACUGCCUUUGAUACUGAGAGCCUUGAGUUCGGGAGAGGUGAGUGGAACUGCGAGUGUAGAGGUGAAAUUCGUAGAUAUUCGCAAGAACACCAGUGGCGAAGGCGGCUCACUGGCCCGAUACUGACGCUGAGGUGCGAAAGCGUGGGGAGCAAACAGG